GGGGAUGUAAUAGAUUCGCCCGUUAUGAAGGGGCCGCGAUAAGCGUGUCGCAGGCAGAUGCGUAAAAGGCAACCUUAAAUUUAAACGCUAACAACAAUAAAUUAGCUCUCGCUGCCUAAUCGCGCGAGCGUCGCCGCUGUUCGUCGUACGGCAGCCAAGCGGCGUCAGAAAGUACGGCUUAAUGCUUCGGUGAGGGUUCCGUAGCCGUUGCAUAUUCACGGAAAUACCUUCGUUUCAGCCCGUCGUCGGGCGGAGGCGCGGGGAAAUCAAAUCGACGACUGAACACGGAGAAAGUUGCGGAAACGCAUGGCGGUACACGGGUGCAAUUCCCGUCAUCUCCACCA
rnacentral:tmRNA from 1 species